rnacentral:rRNA from 1 species
AGAGUUUGAUCCUGGCUCAGGACGAACGCUGGCGUCGUGCUUAACACAUGCAAGUCGAGCGGUAAGGCCUUUCGGGGUACGACGAGCGGCGAACGGGUGAGUAACACGUGGGUGAUCUGCCCUGCACUCUGGGAUAAGCUUGGGAAACUGGGUCUAAUACCGGAUAUGACCACAGGCUGCAUGUGUUGUGGUGGAAAGAUUUAUCGGUGCAGGAUGGGCCCGCGGCCUAUCAGCUUGUUGGUGGGGUAAUGGCCUACCAAGGCGACGACGGGUAGCCGACCUGAGAGGGUGACCGGCCACACUGGGACUGAGACACGGCCCAGACUCCUACGGGAGGCAGCAGUGGGGAAUAUUGCACAAUGCGCGGAAGCCUGAUGCAGCGACGCCGCGUGAGGGAUGAAGGGCUUCGGGUUGUAACCUCUUUCAGCAGGGACGAAGCGUGAGUGACUGGCCCUGCAGAAUGAAGCCCGGGUUACU